UGCCCCUUGGUGUAAUUGGUUAGCACAUGACAUUUUGGAUGUCAUAGUCUCAGUUCAAGUCUGGUAGGGGUAA
rnacentral:tRNA from 1 species